rnacentral:rRNA from 1 species
CCUACGGGUGGCAGCAGUGAGGAAUAUUGGUCAAUGGGCGCGAGCCUGAACCAGCCAAGUCGCGUGAGGGAAGACGGUCCUAUGGAUUGUAAACCUCUUUUUUCGAGGAGAAAAAGACGCCACGCGAGGCGUUCCGAGAGUACCCGAAGAAAAAGCAUCGGCUAACUCCGUGCCGGCAGCCGCGGUAAUACGGAGGAUCCGAGCGUUAUCCGGAUUCAUUGGGUGUAAAGGGUGCGUAGGUUGUGUUAUAUGUUAGCGGUGAAAUACCGAUGCUCAACUUCGGGGCUGCCGCUAAUACUGUAGGACUAGAGAUCGGAUGCAGCAGGCGGAAUGUGUAGUGUAGCGGUGAAAUGCAUAGAUAUUACACAGAACACCGAUUGCGAAGGCGGCUUGCUAGGCCGGAUCUGACGCUGAUGCACGAAAGCGUGGGGAUCGAACAGGAUUAGAUACCCGUGUAGUC